rnacentral:rRNA from 1 species
CUCCUACGGGACGCAGCAGUGGGGGAUAUUGCACAAUGGGGGAAACCCUGAUGCAGCGACGCCGCGUGAGUGAAGAAGUAUUUCGGUAUGUAAAGCUCUAUCAGCAGGGAAGAAAAUGACGGUACCUGACUAAGAAGCCCCGGCUAACUACGUGCCAGCAGCCGCGGUAAUACGUAGGGGGCAAGCGUUAUCCGGAUUUACUGGGUGUAAAGGGAGCGUAGACGGUGCAGCAAGUCUGAUGUGAAAGGUCGGGGCCCAACCCCGGGACUGCAUUGGAAACUGUUGAACUGGAGGACAGGAGAGGG